UUCUGGGCAGCGCCUUCCUCUUGGAUAUUAAUACUGGCAGCUAACAUUAGUCAACAGCUCCCUGUAUGUUUGACAUCGUUCUGAACAUAGCAAAACUUUUGCCUUUCCCUUGGUCCCAGGUAGGAAGAUAACACAGAGCAAAACGGUGUAUCUAGUUGUUCAGAUGCAGCAAUGGAGAGACAGCUAACCUGGGCUAUCGUCGGGAACAGAGUGAAGUCUAGCAAACCUCAUCUUCUGCCUCCACUAGUAUUUCCAAGGCCUUAAUCAAGCUGCCUUCCAGAAGCUCAGAGGAUUCUGCUUUUGUUUCAGAUCAAAGGUUAAUGCAAGAGGAAGUUGCUGAUGUACACACACAGCUUUGAUGUUAUGACUUCAUCUUUAUUAGAAAUGGGAGCCAGCCAAGGAGAGAGAGUCCUGGUGAAACCUGAGAUAAUGAAUGUGGUCAGAAAGAGGCAAGAAUCCAAGUAGGUUCAGAUACAAAAGCCAAGUUAAUGCCCUGAACGAAAAUGCUAACGGAGGUGAGGUGGGGCCAGCGCCUCAAUUCUCUAGAGUGGUCUAGUGAAUGGGGUAGAGCCAGCUAGUUCCCUCUGCUGUGUCCGAGCUGAUUGUAAAUGGCUCAGAAAGCUGACACCGAAAGCUUCCAGGAGGGGAAUGUGGUAGGUGAGCUCUCAGAGGCCAUCUCUUUGUGGAUGCCGUUUUUGUUUGAGAGCCACACCAUCAUUUCAGAUGGCUGCUCCGAUUUGCUAAUUACACAGGGUGAGUCUUUGUCCCGCAGAGAGAGUCAACUCCGAGAGAGGUGGUUAGAGUUGGAGGCAGAAAACAAUCCUGGUUUUCAGCUCAAGGGAGUUUCUGGCACCAGAUUCAGAGAGUCAAACCUGGAAAGGGAAAGGAGUAAGGACAGAACCCGAAGAAGAGUCCCAGGGGCCCCAGGAGGGUUUAGAACCCUGAGGGCUGAGGGCAGCGGGGCCCUAGAAGCUUCUACUCUCUGGGGCCUCCAGCCAGUGGGCGGAUUGUAAAACUGCUCUACCUUGUUCUAGAAGCUCCUCAGGGAAGCAGCCUCAGAGAAAAGAGGUCACGGCACAACACUGAAGAAAGCUCUAAUGGAAUUGCUCACGGUUUUCGAUCAAAGCGCUCUAAGUGAUUUCUGGCGUCUAUAGUAUACCCAGGAGAUACUGCGGCUUCGGUUCCAGACCACCGCAGCAACUCGAGGAUAGUCAGCUUAGUUUGGAGGGAGAGAAUGGAAGUUGUCAGAUUAGGCCUGCAACACACUGACCCUUUGAAAACGUUCUUAAACACAACAUAUACAUACACAUGCCCAGGAUCCGGCAUUGACAAAAUUCCUUUUACAGUAGGGAGAGAUUACAAUUCUAUAUUCAGGAAGCUGAAUCUGGAGAGUUUAGAUGUACUUUGGGGGUGGUACUGAUUCAUGUUGGAGCCAUUUAAAAGUUUUGAAUCUAAAAUCAGCAUGUAGGAAUUUAUUUUAUUUUAUUUUUUUGCACAGGUCCAAGAUAGAUGUGGCCUGGCAACAGACUUUGAAAAGAAAUAAUGCAGGAUUUUAAUUGACCGCAAAUCCAAUGACUCAACAGCUUACUGGUGUGGACAGAAAGCUACUACUACUCCAGUCUGCAUUGAUAUUCAACAGCAGCUUUCCUGGUCACCUUUUUGUACUAGCCUCUAUGAACACAAGGGAAAAAGAAGCUAUGGCUUCUUCCCUAAAAGACUCCUCUUCCAGCAGGGGAGACAGUCUUUCCUUCCGAAUUCUUAUGCCAAAAUAGAACGAUAGCCGCCACCUCCCCCCAACGUCAAGCAGCUGUUGGUCAUUUAUGGGAAAGUUGCAAGGCUAAACCCUCAGCAAACAGGCAGGUUAUUUCUUGCUGUGUUUACACAUUUCCUAGCAACGGGAAUGCAUGGCUUGCUUUCCUGUGACAAGCCCUGAGGAGAGGCGAGGAGCCGUGCCAGAGAGCCAUCAGGGUUAAACUCCAGGCUCUGCCUUCCUGGAAGAUCUAGCCCGCAUACCCACCAGUUCCAACAGCAGGUCCCUGACACACCCAACUUUACAACAGCACUUGCAAACAAUCCGUGACCAAGAAGAUUAGAACUUCCUAAAUACUUGUCCUUUUCCCUAUAUUGGUAAGGGUUCUUGGCAGAUACAUUUUAGGUCUGACUAGGUCUGGCCAAUGGUCGUUGGGAAAAAAAAAGAGGGAUACACAUCACUCCUGCUGAUGCAGCUCAUUGCCGGCGUGCCUCCAGAUCUAAGGAGAAAUGCAUUUUUCAUAAAGUCACUAUUCUAGAAUCUGCCCUCGCCAGCAAUUAGCAUGAAGUACCUUGACUAAUACAGCUUCUUCCUCCGCCUCCUGCAGACUUUCUGGACGCCCUCCUUUGUAACUACUCCCCAUCCUCCUUCGGUAAUUCAUCCUUCUUUAUCCUCGUAUGCCCCAGAGUUCUGUGUUCAACCUUCUUCACAUCCAGAUCAACACUGAGCCUGGAAAAACUCACUCCUAGUUCCAACUAUCGCCCUUGUAGUGACAAUUCUCCACUCUACAUCUCUCUCACCCGGAGCACUCCUGACCCCAAUGCCUUAGUUAUUAAAAAGUGUGAGGCUUCACAGGAUUUACAGAGGAGUUGAUAGAAAAUGAAGUCGUUAGGUUGUGUAAGUCAGACCUUUCUCCUAAAUUAACUUUUUUAAAGUUUGCAACUUACAGGGAUUCUAACAAUCAUUUAAAAAGUAAUUUUAACUCAAGUUCUGAGAGUUACAAACCAGGACAAGGAACUUUGUAAUUGAGCCGGCGUGGGGGUGAGAGGACGGGGCGGCAGCAGGCGGGCAGCCCUGGUUAUAUAGGGUUUCCCCCUUUCCCACCACAGCUACUUCGAGUUAACAUGUCACCAGGUGCGGAAUUGGGAAGGGAUGCUUCAGCCUUCCACUGUCUGGGGCAAACCUUUGACGUAUAUGGUUUUUCUGAGCACUCCAGACUCAACCAGCAGCAUGGUGACAACCUAGUGAUUAUUCCAUUUUUAUAGAAGAGGAAACUGAAAUAAUAGGUCUUUACACUUAGGUCUCUUGCCAGUUCAUGUUGGCCAGUGUUUCUCACUUUAGUGCUGAUUCUGCAGAUCUGGAGCAGGGCACGAGAAUUUGCAUUUCUAACAAGUCCCCCAGCUGCUGCUGGUCCUGGAACUAAGGAUCACUGCCCUGGGCUUAGAGUAGUUUAGUGACAAAAAGGCACCAGCUGGGUUCCGUCCUAGCUCUGCCACUAAUCAGCUGUGACCUUGAAGAGGAUAUUUCCAAGGAAGAUCAGAGCUUCAAGAUUCAAUGGUCUUUGUUUACUUUCCAUGCAUUGCUAUUUUCUUAUCUCCACUCUGUAUAUAGUAUCUGGAGACAAAAGGCAUAGGGUUGGGUAUCUCCAGAUUUUGAAAGCUGCAAAAUCUUAUCAAGGCUCCUGACAAUGCACAUUUGAGUAAAAUUAAUGUCUGGAAUUUCCCUUCCUGAUGUCCAGUUAUAAAUAUAGCACAUUUCCCGCUAAAGAUAGAAAUCAAAGAUGGACAAGUGGCAUUUAAAGCAUUAGAAUAUAUUUAGACCAUAGGAGCUGAUUAUCAGCCUUAGCAUUCAACAGACUUGCUUCAAUGUGACUGACCCCAAGGAGUCCUCACCACCACGAAUUUGAGGCUGUUUUCACUUUAUCCACCUCCUCUGUCCCCACCAUUUACCUCAUUAUUAUUCAGGUCUCCUUGUAGACCAAUAACAUUGUCUUUGAAUAGACAUGGCUGGCUGAGAGUUUUCCUCUUACUCUAAAUGUGACUUACAUACUACUCAGGACAAUCCCAUUAUCUGAUAGAUGUGCACCUCUAGCACUCACCACCUGUAUCACUCAUCUUGGCUCUAUUAUAUUAUUCACGCGGGUGUGUUUUGCUAUACCACUCUUCCAAGAUUAAUUUCUUCAAGGUGAGUCUUCUUGGCCUCGUAAAAUCAUACUCAUCCUUCAAGAUGCAAUUCUGAGAUUAUCUUUUCUGGUCUCCAUCUGCUCCACAAGUACCGCAUUCAUUUUGGUAAACAUCCCAUAUUGCAAAUACCCCAGGGAAUAGCAGUUUCUGGCACCUGAGACUCAGCAAAUGCUCCGUAAUCACUCAUCUAUUUGUGAGUAAAAUUAAUCCCUAUCACUGUUUGUGCAGAACUUGCAUUUUUAUAUAUAAGCUUAAAAAAUGCCUGCUGUCACAAAAUUCAAGAUAAAGCAGCAGUUCUUCACUAUUUGACAGGGGCAGUGGGGUAAAGGAUGUUAAAAAUUGUUCAAAGUAUUUAUUUUUAGAUUUUUUUUUUUGGUGGACACACACACACACAAUCCAGACUAAUUUGUUUUUGUCUACAUCUAUACUAAAACACCACUCUUAACAGAGCUGCAUGCUAGCACAGUGCAAACCAGUAUUGCAAUUAAAACAUAUUUACUUAGCAACUGUUGAAAGCAGUUUCUAAAAAUAUUCAUCUCCCCCUUUCUUCCAAUCCUAAAUAUCUAACGUAGCACUUUAUCACCACUACGACUUGUGCCACUGUCCACUGGCAGAGAACCAAUGGAUGGCUGCCUGACAUCCCAGACAUUGUUUCCAAUGGUUAUUCAGACUGUUUUAUUGAUGGCUUAAUAUGGUAAUGUUAAGAAAAGCUACAUUUUUUUUUUACCCAUUCUACUCCAUAAAUGACAUUAUUAGGACAGUAAAGUACUUUAGUACUUUGGGGGAGAGAAGCCCCUUUCAGUAAAUACCAGUAUGUUAGAAUAGCCUAUAUAAUCCUAGUUACAUGGAAAUGCUCUUUCUAAACAUGGAAAAUAUUCACAAUCGCAAACAAAACUUGACCAAAUUUAUCUAGAUACAAAUUUUAUUAAUGCAUCCUACUCCUGAAUAUUAUAAUGUAUCUUAAGUUCACCUCACAUUAAAAAAUUUCAUCAACAGUUAACUGAUUUUAAAAAAACCCUAAUUUCAAUUUUUAUUAAGACUGUUUAGUAGCAAAACUGGCUUUUUUUUGCUAUCAAUACACAACUGAGGUGCUUUGUGAUAAGUAGGUAAAGGUUGGCUGACAAAUGCAAUAUAAUUGCUCUGGCUUAAUGGUGUCACUAAAAAUGUUUUUUAAAAAAAUGUGAACAGUACUAUUUGGCCCUGGUGAAGGUCCUGGUUGUGGGGAACCUUAACACACCUGUACAUCUUUUUGGGCUUUACUUUCACCAACUUAUCUCCAAAAGGCCCAAGAAAACAAGAUCUAGCAUUUAGUCCUAAAUAUGGACCCUGACAAUCAUUUGAGUGGAUGACUUAUUUAUAAAAACCCUCCCAUCACAUCAUCCUAUUUGAUAUUCAUUUAAGAUA